GGAGAACCCACGUGACUUAUUUGGUAAAGUGCACGGCAACAAAUGUCAACAAGUCUCGAUUCAGAAUAUGAAGACUCCGACUUUAUGCAAAGAAUGCGGAACGGCAUUUCAAAAUAAAAAAAAACAACAUCUAGUAGACCACGAUAGAAGGCAUUCUGGUCGAUUGCCAUCGUUUUUGCGGGAAAGUGUUUACACAGACACAGGUGCAGCAAUCACGGCGAGAGAAAGUUGCACGUUUGCAAAUAGUGUGGCAAAACUGCCCUUGCAAGACUUGAAGAUACACGAAAGACGCGAAAGCAACCAAUUGAAUCUAACCUGUGGUGUGUGUGGGUUCAAAUUGGGUGACACGACCAAUCUCAGUGACCAGAUAUCUACUAGACACAGGGGUAUGACACUUCACAAAUGUCUACAGUGUCGCUCAGCAAGUUCAAAUCUGGACUCAGCAGGCACGUUAAGGCGAAACACACCUAAUCAGGACACAUUGAAAGAUCACAAUGGUCUAGUUAGAAGUGCAUUCCAGUAUGUUGCCGAGUUAAAAAACGUUUUGAUGAGUUUAACAUUUUAUUAAGAUAAAUAGCAAAACGUACUGUUACCAAAUGGUGCUCUUUCAAAAUGUUCGUUUGUCUUACAGUACUGAAAAAAUUGCAGUGUAAAAUUAGUAUAAAAACGGAUUGGGCAUAAAACAUUUUCACAAUGUUUAGAGAUGCAUUGUUGUCAUUUUCCCAUUGAUGUCCUAUAAACUCUUAACUGCAUGUAUCUUAUAUAAUUCAGCAAGCUUUGAAACACAAUUAUUUUGUAAUCACAUUUAAGCCUUUAGUCUAGAACAUUCUAAUGUUCCAUGCUCAGCUCUAAUCUAAAUGUUCAAGUCUUAGUCCUAGCCUGUAAGUUGGUAAUAUAGUGUGCUCUCAUUCCUCCUUGCUGUUUCCCAUCUAACUCCGAGCCUCCAUCUUUACAAUGAAUUCCUGUCUGUAUUGUUCGAACGACCGCAGUUUUACUGAUGUAGAUCAGAUAAGUUUUGUUCAGACUGAACCAAAUAAAAGAUUCAGCGUUACCUGAAAGGU